rnacentral:rRNA from 1 species
AGUGAACGCUGGCGGUAGGCCUAACACAUGCAAGUCGAUCGGCAGCACAGGAGAGCUUGCUCUCUGGGUGGCGAGUGGCGGACGGGUGAGGAAUACAUCGGAAUCUACUCUGUCGUGGGGGAUAACGUAGGGAAACUUACGCUAAUACCGCAUACGACCUACGGGUGAAAGCAGGGGACCUUCGGGCCUUGCGCGAUUGAAUGAGCCGAUGUCGGAUUAGCUAGUUGGCGGGGUAAAGGCCCACCAAGGCGUCGAUCCGUAGCUGGUCUGAGAGGAUGAUCAGCCACACUGGAACUGAGAAACGGUCCAGACUCCUACGGGAGGCAGCAGUGGGGAAUAUUGGACAAUGGGCGCAAGCCUGAUCCAGCCAUACCGCGUGGGUGAAGAAGGCCUUCGGGUUGUAAAACCCUUUUGUUGGGAAAGAAAUCCAGCUGGCUAAUACCCGGUUGGGAUGACGGUACCCAAAGAAUAAGCACCGGCUAACUUCGUGCCAGCAGCCGCAGUAA